GCGGGCGUGGCGGAAUGGCAGACGCGCCAGAUUUAGGUUCUGGUACUUCGGUGUAAGAGUUCAAGUCUCUUCGCCCGCACCA
rnacentral:tRNA from 1 species